rnacentral:rRNA from 1 species
CCUACGGGAGACAGCAGUGAGGAAUAUUGGUCAAUGGACGAGAGUCUGAACCAGCCAAGUAGCGUGAAGGAUGACUGCCCUAUGGGUUGUGAACUUCUUUUAUAUGGGAAUAAAAUGUUCCACGUGUGGGUUUUUGUAUGUACCAUAUGAAUAAGGAUCGGCUAACUCCGUGCCAGCAGCCGCGGUAAUACGGAGGAUCCGAGCGUUAUCCGGAUUUAUUGGGUUUAAAGGGAGCGUAGGUGGAUUGUUAAGUCAGUUGUGAAAGUUUGCGGCUCAACCGUAAAAUUGCAGUUGAAAAUGGCAGUGGUGAGUACAGUAGAGGUGGGCGGAAUUCGUGGGGUAGCGGUGAAAUGCUGAGAUAUCACGAAGAACUCCGAGUGCGAAGGCAGCUCACUGGACUGCAACUGACACUGAGGCUCGAAAGUGUGGGUAUCAAACAGGAAUAGAUACCCUUGUAGUC